AACACACUCAAAAAAAUGGAUUUGUGGCACUGUUCGUUUUACACAGAUAUGUUUUGUUAAAACAACACAAGUAUAUUUAGUUUUCCGCCAAAACACAAUUGUAUUGUGCUUAAUCAACUUAAAAUGUUUCAUUUUCAAUUUUACUUAAUUAUCAAUCGUUAAACUAACGUAAAGUGUUUAAUUUUGUAAUUAAAAAAAAAACGGAAGUGACGAUUUCCAACGCAUUUGAUGACGGUGCGAAGGAGAGCAAGAGGUACCAGUCAGAUUUGUGCAGAAUUUGAGACAUACAAAAUUACCAUAGGCCCAUUAGAAUCAACAGUCUUUGCCAAACUGGAUCCGCACUACAGAACUUAUGAAGAUGUUUGCAUACUGAAGAAGAGUCCUUGGACAAAUACUGAAACCCUCUUGGUGCCCACUAGACAGGCAGGGGUGUCCAGACCUGCUCUAGGAAAGCCAGUGUUCUGUGGAGUUCAGCUCUAACACACCUGCCUGGAACUUCUAACUAAUGAAAUUGAAGUAUCCAAAUGAAGACCCUAGCAGUAUGGAGUACAUGGAUACAGACGUUGGCAGCAAUCAGGAGGUGAUCAAGAAGACUCGUGGGAAUCUAUUUGAAGCUGCAUCAUUGAAGACAGUUCAGCAGAAGUUGGAGUUUUAAAGGAUAAAGUUCUUCAGGACCUAGCAGUUUACAGUCUGCAAAACCAUGUUUCUGGGACUGAUAUAUGGACUGAACUUGAGCAACCCCCUGAACUCAGGUACACAUUUGGAGUACUGAAGAAGUUAUUUCUGGAGCCAGUUCCUGUUCCUGGAAUAAGGUUUGAUUGGUUACCCAUGAAUGCCAGUUAG